AUCUGAGUGCUCGGGCUUUAAGCGUGUCAGUGAAGAUUCGUCUGAGACCGCUUUUUUGCUAGUUGAAAACUACAACUAUGACUGCUUCAGUUGGCCUUCGGGUCGGCUGGGAAUCUUUGGAACCAUCAGUGUG
rnacentral:snRNA from 1 species